UUUACAUUUAGUCAAAAUUUCUUUUCCACACAGUGUCUUAAUAUUCAAAAUGACAAGUUGGUUGAGACUAGCACGGUUCCAAGUCCAGAAACCAAAAUGACAGAAAUUGACAACAGUUACCAUUUCUUCCCAUCAAUGCCCUCGUUGGAAAAAGAAGUAGGUAACUGCAGUCCACAUUUUCUCAGUGCUUUCGAGGAUUCCUUUAGCAGCAUUCUCUCCACAGAAGAUUCCAGCCAGCUGACCGUGAACUCAUUAAAUUCAGAUGCCACAAUUAACACAGAUUUUGGUGAUGAAUUUUAUUCUGCUUUCAUAGCAGAACCCAGUAGUAGCAACAGCAUGCCCUCCUCUGCUACUUUAAGCCAGUCACUCUCUGAACUUCUUAAUGGGCCCAUUGAUGUUUCUGAGCUAUCACUUUGUAAAGCCUUCAACCAAAAUCAUCCUGAAAGCACAGAAUUCAAUGAUUCUGACUCUGGCAUUUCACUCAACACAAGUCCUGGCAUGGCAUCACCAGAACACUCGGCGGAAUCUUCUGUCUAUGGAGACACGCCACUUGGCUUCAGUGAUUCUGAAAUGGAAGAGAUAGAUAGUGCUCCUGGAAGUGUCAAACAGAAUGGUCCUAAAACACCGCCAGUACAGUCUGCCGGAGAUACAGCCCAACCCCUGUCACCAUCUCCAGGGCACAGCGCUCCAGCGCGGGAUGCCCAGCGCGAAAACACACCAAAGAAAGAAUUGCCUGUGAGCCCUGGUCAUCGAAAAACCCCAUUCACAAAAGACAAACAUUCAAGCCGCUUGGAGGCUCAUCUCACGAGAGAUGAGCUAAGGGCAAAAGCUCUCCAUAUCCCAUUCCCUGUUGAAAAAAUCAUUAACCUCCCUGUUGAUGACUUCAAUGAAAUGAUGUCCAAGGAGCAGUUCAGUGAGGCUCAACUGGCAUUAAUUCGAGAUAUACGCAGGAGGGGUAAGAAUAAAGUGGCUGCUCAGAAUUGCAGAAAAAGAAAACUGGAAAAUAUAGUGGAACUGGAACAAGAUUUGGAUCAUUUAAAAGAUGAAAAAGAAAAAUUGCUUAGAGAAAAAGGGGAGAAUGACAAAAGCCUCCAUCUACUGAAAAAACAACUCAGCACCUUGUAUCUCGAAGUCUUCAGCAUGCUCCGUGAUGAAGAUGGAAAACCUUACUCUCCUAGUGAAUACUCCCUGCAGCAAACAAGAGAUGGCAAUGUAUUCCUUGUGCCCAAAAGUAAGAAGCCAGAUACUAAGAAAAACUAGAUUUGGGAAGAUCUGACCUUUUUCUGAGCUAGUGGGUUGUUUGUUUUGGGGAUUGUUUUUUGUUUUUUUGUACUGUUAUACUAAAAGCUCCUACUGUGAUGUGAAAUGCAAAAAUAUACUUUAUAAGUAAUUCUAUGCAAAAUUAUAGUCAAAACUAGUAUAGAAGAUAAUACAAACUUUAAAAAGCAUUAAAAUAAGUCAUCAGUAUGCUGAAUCAGUAGUUUUCACUUUAACUGCAAACUUAAUUUCUUAGAACACCAUUUGGGCUAGUUUCUGUAUAAGUGUAAAUACUACAAAAACUUAUUUAUACUGGUCUUAUCUCAUUUGUUACGUUCAUUUAUAUGGUAUCUGGCUAAGAGCAAAUUGUUGCAAAACUAACCACUGUGUACUUUUUUAUAAAUACUGUAUGAACAAAAAAGGCAUUUUUUUAUAUUAAAUUGUUUAGCUCUGGCAAAAACCAAUUUAGUUAAAAAGCUGGUACUAAUAAAGGAGUAUUAUGACUGUUA